AUGGCCAAGGGUCUGCUCACUUCUGUUCUCUCUCUAUGUCACGCUUAAAGUGUUUGUGUGUUCCCUAACUAAGUGUUGCCAGGUAACCCCUGGGAGUACCAGGUGGCGUGAGUGUCCUGAAACCUGGACCGUACAUGGACUCAGUAUUUGAAAAAGAAAGAUCCUAUUUUUCCUCAACGAGUGUCUUUGAGAGCUCACUUCUCUUUUUUCGGCAGAGCAGCAUCAUUCAAUGAAGUGGUGAAACCCUCACAAUCAGAUUAGCAUUUCUUUUUCAGGAAGAAAUGAAAGGCUGCAGAAAGGGGAAUACAGGGCUGUAUAUGAAAGUAGAGUGCUGCUGUAUUGUUGCAGCUCGUGUUCAGGCACAUCAUUAAACUGGGAGAGGCUCUCCAGACACAUGACAGUUUGACACAAGCCGAUUCAGGGGGAUACAAGAUGUUCUCUCCUGUUUUGUCAUUCACUGUCAGACAGUCAACUGGAGAUUUCCCUCACAUUUCACAUCCUGAGACAGAGGAUUUCUGUCGCAAUGUUUUGUUUACCUCAAUGGAAUAGUUUAGUUUUCUGGGGGGGGGGGGUAAAUAUGUAUUUUUACUUGGCAAGAUCUAAAAUAAAUCUGAUCAUCUUUCUAAAGUCUCCCAAACCAUAAAUGUUUUUGUUUUAUCUAUUUACCUUUUUAUUUCUUAAUUAUUUCCCUCUCCCAUACAUAUGCAGCGUCUAUGUGAAUGUAACCCGGGUUAAAAAACCUUCAAUCCUAGCAAAUUCCCGUAGCUCAGUAUAAAUGGCAGCCAGGUCACUUCCGUUUCCUUUGCUGGUUGUGAUGCUGGUUGCUACGUUGAUGCUACAUGCUACACACAGAGAUUCCUCCACGAUUCCUAAACAGAUUAACGUUUGGUUAACAAUUGCUGCAAUCAGCGGUCAGGUUUUUUGUUUGGAUAUAUUUUUUUUGCCAGGUGCUUGCCGCAUCUGAUGACCUUUCAUGGACCUUGAUGGCGAGCUAAGAUUCUAAACCUAUCCUCCCUGCCACAUGAUGAAGUAGGAUUAAACGGAAAUGAAUGAACUUUACCCCGGAAGCUUUUCUUUUGUUGUCUUUUGCCUUUACUGGGCACCUGAAAAUAAUCAUGUGAAUUUGAAUGAACUUGUUGAUAUCUUGAAUACAACUAUUUUGUAACGCA